rnacentral:tRNA from 1 species
GCCUGGGUGGCUCAGUUGGUUAAGCAUCUGGCUUCAGUUCAGGUCAUGAUCUAACAGUUUGUGAGUUCGAGCCCCACAUCAGGCC